GAAAUUAGGAUAACAAGAGUUUUUGUUGAUAGAUGCGUAUGGUUUUAUAAUUUUUGUUAAGAAAUAUAAUAGAUUUGAGAUUAUGAUUUAGAAAUUAGGAUAACAAGAUUUUUUGUUGAUAGAUGUGCAUGCUUUUGUAAUUUUUGAUCAAUAGGUUAUAUUUUAUUAAUAAAAUUUCUACAAACUGCUACUUUUAGAAAGUUAUCAUUUUCGUAGAGAAAUAUUGUAGAUUUGAGAUUGUGAUUUAGAAAUUAUGAUAACAAGAGUUUUUAGAUAUAGAUGAGUAUGGUUUAAAAAUUUUUGAUCAAC
rnacentral:lncRNA from 1 species